AGUGAACGCUGGCGGUAGGCCUAACACAUGCAAGUCGAACGGCAGCACAGUAAGAGCUUGCUCUUACGGGUGGCGAGUGGCGGACGGGUGAGGAAUACAUCGGAAUCUACUUUUUCGUGGGGGAUAACGUAGGGAAACUUACGCUAAUACCGCAUACGACCUACGGGUGAAAGCAGGGGAUCUUCGGACCUUGCGCGAUUGAAUGAGCCGAUGUCGGAUUAGCUAGUUGGCGGGGUAACGGCCCACCAAGGCGACGAUCCGUAGCUGGUCUGAGAGGAUGAUCAGCCACACUGGAACUGAGACACGGUCCAGACUCCUACGGGAGGCAGCAGUGGGGAAUAUUGGACAAUGGGCGAAAGCCUGAUCCAGCCAUACCGCGUGGGUGAAGAAGGCCUUCGGGUUGUAAAGCCCUUUUGUUGGGAAAGAAAAGCAGCAGGUUAAUACCCCGCUGUUCUGACGGUACCCAAAGAAUAAGCACCGGCUAACUUCGUG
rnacentral:rRNA from 1 species